CCUCCACGUGGUGAGUCCUGGGUAGCUCUAGCCAGCGGUAUAAGGACACGUGGUGUGAGCUAGCCGAGAGUUGCAUCAAUUGACGCGUAAUACCGAAAACUAGGAGUUGUGCUCAAACUAGGAGCUAGAUUUGAUUCAUAGCAUUAAUGUUGUUUAAUCACAGGUAUGUCGACACGAAACUCAAUUUCUGAAACUUUUUUCUUCAAUUUGAUGCGAGUUCAGGAGUGGUUUCAAACCUUGGUCACAAUCCUCAACCAGUUAUGGAAUGACCAUCAUCCAGUACAAUCGUGUAAGGCAUCUGAAGAGCGAAAACUUACUGGAACUAAGGUCCCGUAACAGAGACUUUCCCAUCGAAACCAUCUGGAAACGAUUUAAUCUGCGGAAGUUAUUAGAUGAAAUCAGUACGGCCCCUAUGUGCGAGUACCCUGAGGCCAGUCCAUGUCGAAGCUGCUUCUGUACUGAAGGUCAACUCAGGAAGCCCGAUCCUCUCUUCCUAAUGGGCCUACCGUACCGGACAAGAUGGAUUUCAAGCAUUGGUAGUGGAUCUAAAUAUCAGCGGUUGCUUUACUUGCGGCGAGAGUACUUCGUAGGGGAGCCGUCCUAGAGCAACCUAGUCCCUCCUGGCAGUGAGUUAAAUGGCGUUCAUGGCAAAUUCCAGCACUUGGUGGGGGAUCUAAACGACACGGCGCAAGGGAUUAUCACGAAGUAUGCGUUCUUCUACGACUCCCUUGGUUCAUUUUACGACAGCAUGACUGCUAUGGAGACAUUUCAUGAAGUGCUGAAGGAACAGAAAGGAGUGGAGG